AAAUAGCUCCGUUGGGAGAGCGUUAGACUGAAGAUCUAAAUGUCCCCGGUGUUCGAUCCCGGGUUU
rnacentral:tRNA from 1 species